GACGUAGGGCGCGUGCGUUGUCCGGAUUUAUUGGGCGUAAAGAGCGUGUAGGCGGCCAGGUAGGUCUGGUGUGAAAACUCGAGGCUUAACCUCGAGAUGUCAUCGGAAACCAUCUGGCUAGAGUCCGGAAGAGGAGAGUGGAAUUCCUGGUGUAGCGGUGAAAUGCGCAGAUAUCAGGAAGAACACCAAUGGCGAAAGCAGCUCUCUGGGACGGUACUGACGCUGAGACGCGAAAGCGUGGGGAGCGAACAGG
rnacentral:rRNA from 1 species